rnacentral:lncRNA from 1 species
UCAAUUGACAUGAUUUUGCGUGUCAGAGCAUAUGUCACUGUCGUGGUCACCGGUCACGCGUCUGGCAUGCCAAUGAUGCGCUGUGGCGAAUUGGGUCCGCUGUUCUCGUCCGUUCCCUUGAGCUAUCGCCACCUUGCUUCCUCUCCUCGUCGCCCUCAUCCUGGAUCCCUCUUCCCCUCCGUAUUCUUCCUCUUGGGACCGUCCCCGUCGAGCAAUAGCCGCACACGGUGACGUUCGUCGCCUCCGUCCUCCAUGGCGUGUUGCCCUCGUCACCAGAGCUCUCCCUUGCGCUUUAAGUUGGUGCCCCAAGCUCCGUGGCAUCUCAUCG